rnacentral:rRNA from 1 species
AGGACGAACGCUGGCGGCGUGCUUAACACAUGCAAGUCGAGCGGAAAGGCCCUUCGGGGUACUCGAGCGGCGAACGGGUGAGUAACACGUGAGCAACCUGCCCUUAGCUCCGGGAUAGCUCCGGGAAACCGGAAUUAAUACCGGAUACGACCACGGCCGACAUCUGCUGUGGUGGAAAGGAUUCCGGCUAAGGAUGGGCUCGCGGCCUAUCAGCUAGUUGGUGGAGUAACGGCCCACCAAGGCGACGACGGGUAGCCGGCCUGAGAGGGCGACCGGCCACACUGGGACUGAGACACGGCCCAGACUCCUACGGGAGGCAGCAGUGGGAAUAUUGCGCAAUGGGCGAAAGCCUGACGCAGCGACGCCGCGUGGGGAUGAAGGCCUUCGGGUUGUAAACCCCUUUCAGUUGGGACGAAGCUUCGUCGGUUAAUAGCCGACCGGAGUGACGGUACCUUCGAGAAGAAGCCCCGGCUAACCUACGUGCCAGCAGCCGC